CGGGUGAGUAACGCGUGGAUAACCUGCCUCACACAGGGGGAUAACAGUUAGAAAUGACUGCUAAUACCGCAUAAGCGCACGGUAUCGCAUGGUACAGUGUGAAAAACUCCGGUAGUGUGAGAUGGAUCCGCGUCUGAUUAGGUAGUUGGUGAGGUAACGGCCCACCAAGCCGACGAUCAGUAGCCGACCUGAGAGGGUGACCGGCCACAUUGGGACUGAGACACGGCCCAA
rnacentral:rRNA from 1 species